CAGUAGCCGCGGGAAUACGUAGGGCGCAAGCGUUGUCCGGAAUUAUUGGGCGUAAAGAGCUCGUAGGCGGUCUGUCGCGUCUGGUGUGAAAUCCCGAGGCUCAACCUCGGGCUUGCAUCGGGUACGGGCAGACUAGAGUGCGGUAGGGGAGACUGGAAUUCCUGGUGUAGCGGUGGAAUGCGCAGAUAUCAGGAGGAACACCGAUGGCGAAGGCAGGUCUCUGGGCCGCAACUGACGCUGAGGAGCGAAAGCAUGGGGAGCGAACAGGAUUAGAUACCCCCGUAGUCCCUGUCUCUUAUAU
rnacentral:rRNA from 1 species